rnacentral:rRNA from 1 species
AUACGGAGGGUGCAAGCGAUACUCGGAAUCACUGGGCGUAAAGCGCGCGCAGGCGGCUAUUUAAGUUGGAUGUGAAAGCCUACGGCUCAACCGUAGAACUGCAUCCAAAACUAUUUAGCUAGAGUGUGGGAGAGGAAGAUGGAAUUAGUUGUGUAGGGGUAAAAUCCGUAGAGAUAACUAGGAAUACCAAAAGCGAAGGCAAUCUUCUGGAACACUACUGACGCUGAGGCGCGAAAGCGUGGGGAGCAAACAGGAUUAGAUACCCUAGUAGUCC